CAUAAUCCUAUCAAGUAAUUUCUGUUCCCAUUGAUGGUCUUCCAUGAUCAUCUUGUAGAAGGCUGAGUAGGAUGUUGGAAAAUUUUAUUUCUUAGAGUAGAAAAAUUAUAGAGACUGGGGAAGAAAAGUUGAUACAGAAACAAGGAUUUCAAGAAUUUCAAGAAAGAAUAAAGAGAAGAAAUUAGGAAAAAGGUGGAGGAAGAAACAGGUUUCUAGAAAUUCCAAGAAUUUCAAGAAACAGGUUUCUUGAAAUGCUGGAAAUAAGAAAUUAAAGAAGGGAAUAGAAGAAAGAACCAGAAAGUGACAGAAGAAGAAAGAAUUUGAUUCAUGAUUCAAGAAUUUCAAUAAAGAAAGAAUAAAGAAGAAGAAAUUGAGGUGAGAAAGUGAAGAAAUUUCUGGGGGAGAGGAAGAAGAAAAGAAGGAAUAGAGCGAAAGAAGAGAGAAAGAGAGAAGAGUAGAGAAAAACCUGGAAUUCUGGAAUUUUGGAAGACUCUCAUGAAUCUGCGCAGAGUUGUGACUCCAACAGAAAAUAUUGGAAGCAAACCCCACUGAGAUCAAGGCUCUAAUACCAAAUUGUUAAUAACAGCCUACCAACUAAGUGAAACAGAGGAAUAGGGAGAGAAAGAGAGAGAAAUAGAUGAGAAAACAGAUAGA
rnacentral:misc_RNA from 1 species